AGCGCGCUCUCGUGGCUGGCUGGAGGACGCAUCGGCUAAAGCUACAAGAGCAGCGGCCGAGCAGGCCCGCGUCUCCUCGGAAUAGAUAACGUCGUUGUUCAUUUCGUCCCGACGGACGCUUCGGCCGGCUGGGAUUCGAAACGCGCCCGAUCAUAUGUGUGUGAAGGGGGAGAGGAUAUCGCAAGAUGGUUCGGGAAACCAGACACCUUUGGGUGGGAAAUUUACCCGAACACGUCCGAGAGGAGAAAAUUGUGGAGCAUUUUAAACGGUAUGGACGCGUGGAGAGCGUUAAGGUCCUGCGGAAGCGCGGGUCAGAGGGUGGCGUCGCAGCCUUUGUGGAUUUUGUGGACAUCAAAAGUGCUCAGAAGGCUCACAAUGCCGUCAACAAGAUGGGUGAUAGGGACCUUCGGACUGACUACAAUGAACCGGGGUCAGUCCCAAGUGCUGUACGGGGCCUUGAUGACAGCUCCCCCUCGAGCAGUCGAGACGUAACAGGAUUCUCUAGGGGAACAGUUGGACCUGUGUUUGGCCCCCCUGUGUCCAUUCACACCAGAGAGGGACGUUAUGAACGGAGAAUAGAUGGUAGCUCAGAAGCCCGUGAACGUGCAUAUGACCACAGCCCGUAUGGACACCAUGAGCGCAGUGGCACUUUCGACAGACAGCGGCACUACAACGCAGACUAUUACAGGGAGCGAUCUUUGUUUGCUGCUGCCGGUCCAGGGAGCAGUGCCAUCAGCGGAAGCUUUGAGGCACCAGACCCUCAUUUUGACUCUAGAAUUCGAGACCCCUUCUCUCUUGCGACUGCGACACGUCGCGACCUCUAUAGAGAUGACAGAGGACGGCGUGUUGAUAGAACAUACCAUCACCGUCGGAGCCGAUCGUCUCAUUCCUCACAGUCUCUACACCCUUCUCCCCAGCGGACAACUGGACAGACCGCCAAAACUGCUCAUUCCCCUAAACGAGCACCUCUGUCCCCUGGAAGAGUCCCACGAUCUCAAUCCCGCAGCAGAUCGUCAAGCUCUGAUUCCGUGAGCAGCACCAGCAGUACAGGCAGCGGCAGCGAUUCCCACAGCAGUUCAAGUGACGGAUCACGAGCGCGUUCUGUUCAGUCGUCAGCUGCACAUGCGCCACCUCAGUCGUCAAUGGUGCUUGACUCCGAUGAGCCACGUAGAAGCUUUGGGAUUAAAGUACAAAACCUACCAGCGCGAUCGACAGACACAAGCUUAAAAGACGGACUCUUCCAUGAGUUCAAAAAACAUGGUAAAGUGACCUCCGUGCAGAUCCAUGGGACAUCAGAAGAUCGCUAUGGUUUGGUGUUCUUCAGACAGCAAGAGGAUCAAGAGAAAGCUCUUAGCGUCCCUAAAGGAAAACUGUUCUUUGGUAUGCUGAUUGAAGUAACGGCAUGGAAUGGUCCUGAAACGGAGAGUGAGAAUGAGUUCAGGCCCCUGGAUGGCAGGAUAGAUGAAUUCCACCCAAAAGCCACGAGAACAUUAUUUAUUGGCAACCUUGAGAAGACAACCAGCCGUGAACAACUUUUUGAAAAUUUUCAACGCUUUGGAGAAAUUGUCGACAUUGACAUCAAGAAAAUGAAUGGAAUUCCUCAGUAUGCAUUUGUUCAGUAUUCUGAUAUUGCCAGUGUUUGCAAGGCCAUUAAAAAGAUGGAUGGCGAAUAUCUUGGCAGUAACAGACUAAAGCUUGGUUUUGGGAAAAGUAUGCCUACGGCGUGUGUUUGGCUUGAUGGGCUGACAACCAAUAUCACAGAGCAUUACCUCUCACGGCAUUUCUGUCGUUAUGGACAUGUUGUCAAGGUUUUAUUUGACAGAAUGAAAGGGAUGGCCCUCAUCUUCUACAACAACACAGAUUUUGCUCAGGCUGCUGUGAGAGAGACCAAAGGGUGGAAGAUUGGAGGCAGCAAGAUUAAGGUGGACUUUGCAAGCCAAGAGAGUCAGCUGGCAUUCUUCAGAGCUAUGCAGACAUCUGGUCAAGACAUUAGAGAGCUUUAUGAAAUUCCUCCUGAACGACGGGAGGAUCGGAGGCCCCUGUACCAUGAAUUUACAGCAGAGAGGGCUUACUAUGAAACAAUACGCACGCCUGGCCUUUAUACAGAGGAUGCUCGAAGAGAGUAUGCUGCUCGCAGUAGGGACCGUUUCCCUGAAUUGGAACAUUUUCAGGGGGAACCUUUUGACCCACGUUACCAUGAAGACCCACGGGACUACAGGGACUAUAGAGAUCCCUUUGAGCAAGACAUUAGGAAAUACACAUAUAUUCAACGAGAACGAGAGCGUUUUGAAGCUGACCGAAAUAGAUGGAGUCCCUCUCAUCAUCGCCGGCCAAUUACCCCUGCUGUGUCACCAUCACCGUCUGAACGUGCUCCUAGAGAAUCCGAGCACCGAGUUUAUAGCCAGUCCUCUGAAAGAAGUGGUAGUGUAAGCUCACUAUCACCCCCACACUUUGAAAAGUCUGAAAAGACUUUGCUAGAACCUGCAUCAAAGAGUGACAAGGUUGAAAAGAGUAGUCAACCUGAUAGAGUGGUGGGCUCUGAAAAAAACAAGCGGACCAAACGAAAAGAGAAAGGCGACAAAGCAGAGAGACUCAAAUCAAGGAAAGUAAAGGCCCACUCUCCAUCCAAUCCACUACCAGCCACAGAGCUUGAUACCUCUCUGGAAGUAGGCACUGUGAGAGGAAAGGGAGUUGAACAAGAUACCCAAGAUAGGCAGAAAUAUAAGGGAGAUAAUGACUCUAUUACUGGAAGUCAGUUCUCAGCUACUCAUCAUGACUCUUCGAAAAGUGAAAGAUCUGAAAUGGCUAAAGGUGAUAAUUCUGAUAUGGAUGGAAAAAAUCGAGUCAAAAAACAUCUUAAGCCUGAUACUGGAAAUGAUGCGAAAGACUCAUCAGUGGAUUCAGAUCGCCUUGCUGCAAGAAAAAGGCGCUUUGCUGAUUCAAGUGGAAGGACUAUUCAUCAAAAGCGUAGCAGGCUUGAAGAAGAGGAUUGUAAUCAAUCGCAAGACCCUAGUACGAUUGCACCAUAUGGGAAAGAUAUAGACUCUGAUAAGCACAAAGAUGCUCAACGCAGAGAUUCAAGAUUUAAAAGUGGAACACAGAAGGAUGUUCAAGAGGACAAAGUACCAAGAGAGAAAAUAGAGGGCUCGUUGGAUCCUUCUGAGUCGAAACGACUCCCAGCCCACACUCCAUCCCGAAGAUUUUCACAUGAAGGAAAUGCAGACCAAGGCUCUUUGAAAGAACAGGAACACGGUGCUAUUUUCAAAUUUAGUGGUCAGGCAACCGAAACUGCCAAAAGCAUUAAGAUUAAGGAAGAGCAUGUUGACAUUGACCUGUCUCAGAGUUAUCGCAAGCAAAUGGAGCAAAAUAGAAGGUUACAUCAGCAACAAUAUCGAGAAUCUGACAAAUCUGGCAAACCUGUCAAACCAGGAAGUCCACGAGAAAAUGAAAGUGAGGAUUUGGAACACCGUAGUCUUGUGCAUGAAGUUGGCAAACCACCUGAGGAUGUCACAGAUAAUUUCCCAUCUCACAAGCAAAAGAAACUAGACCAGUUUGACAGUGAAGGAAUCAAGAGGGAGCGUGUCUAUAGGAGCUUCAGGCAAAAAAGUGAAGAUCCUGAAUGGAACAACACUUCCUCUCCAGGACACCAGUUUUCUCAACAUACAGAGGAGGACUUUGAUCAUUCUCAGAAAGAGCUUGCCAGAAAUGAAAAAAAUGACCCUGAUUUGGAGCUGCUUGUCAAAAGGACACAUAAUACCCAUGUAAACAAAUCCAACACACUUAAUGCAGAAGAGGAGCAACAAAAGAGAUGGGAGAGCAGAGUGAAGCGAAACAUGCUACCUGACCUCAACUUUUCUAGAAAUCUUAGUAAAAAUGUUCACAACCGUAAACGUUUGGAAUUUGGUGUUUGGCAUGAUAUAGAGCCAGGGGAGGUGAGAUCUGACUCUGAAGAGGAUCGAGAAGCUGAACCCCGUUCUCCUGUGGCAUCUACUUCAAAGUCUUUUUCAGAGAGGCCGAGGGGUGAGAGAUUUUCAGACCCCAAAACAGCACAUCUUGAAAGAAAUAAAUUCUACUCCUUUGCACUUGACCAGACCAUCACACCAGAUACAAAGGCUCUGCUUGAGCGUGCGAAAUCCCUGUCAUCUUCCAGAGAAGAUAACUGGUCCUUCUUAGAUUAUGAUUCUCACUUUGUAAGUUUCCGGAACCGGAAAGAUACUGAGAAGAUAGAAUCAACACCACGGCCUACACCAUCGUGGUACAUGAAAAAGAAAAAGAUCCGAAGUGGAUCUGAAGAUAAACUUGAUAAUCGGAAGGAGGAGCCAAAACCAGAGGAACAAGAACGAAGAGAACUGUUUGCCUCCCGCUUCCUUCACAGCCCUGUUUUUGAGUUGGACUCUAGACGACUUCAGCAUCUGGAACGAAAAUAUGAAGAAGCUGAGCAUGGUCAAAACCAGCAAGGAACUAUAGAUGGUGAACUUGACUCAGGCCCAGUGGUUCUUUUCCAUAGUCGUUUUUUGGAACUUACAAGACUGCAACAACAAAAGAAUAAAACACAACCACAAGAAAUGAUAGAUGAAAUAAAAGUAGAAAAAACAUUGAUGGAAGAGCCACAAAUUUUGCAAUCACCUGAAACAAAAGAAUCUAUCAUUGAGCCAGAAAUUAAGCCCAUCAGUCCUGCUGAAGAGUUAGUGUCUGAACCCAGGGUAACAACACCUAUCUCACAGACGUUGCUAAAAGACUUUCCUCCUGUAGAAAAGCCGUCUCAAUUACCCAUUGAACCAUCCCCUACUGUAGUUUUCAUAAAGCAGGAAAAAGACAUUGAACAUGUGCCUGUGCAUUAUCCACUAAUUGAGACUACCGCUGAUUCAGAAGAUGCAUCUGUCAAAGAAGAAGCCAAUUAUGUAACGGAUAGUUAUAAGCUUUCUCCUUCUGAAAUUAAAGUGGAUGAUGUUACAGAUGAUGUCAAACCUGAUGCAGAAGAGCAGAGUAGCUGCAAUUUGCAUGAGUUUGUCAGUAGUUCAGAACCAGAGCUUGACUGUGAAGCAGCGCAGUCCGAAAUCCCUCCAGCCUUAAGUUCGACAAUACCUAGUCAUGAUGAGUGUAAUGACUUAGCGAAGAAAGAGACGUAUUGCACAGUUUCAGAGCCUGAGGAAGAAAAAACUCUUAAAGUUACUAAAGAGUCCAGCGAUGACAUAAACAUUGAGGGAAACUCUGCCCAUAAGGAGUAUAAAACAAAAGAAAUGAAAACAAAAAAGGGCAAACCAUCCCCAGGUGAAGUUGCUUCAACUGUUGUGUCUGCAUCUGCUCCUGAAAAACAAGCCACUCGAAAGAGUGAGCGCAUUGACAAAGAGAAACUGAAACGGGGUUCCUCUCCAAGAGCAGAAUCUAAGUCUACAGGCAAAUCUCCUCUUCAUGGAUCAGAUGCUGAUGUCUCGGAGCAGAGCAUAUCAUCAGGCAGAGCAAGACGUAGGAAUGUGAAAUCUGUGUAUGCGACCCCAGUUGAAGAUGAAGUGCCGUGUCGUACUGCAAAGGAUAUUCAAGAGUCCCCACGUUCUGCAAGAAAACGUGGUACAGAUAAGGAUGCUACACAGCAGCAGAACAAUGAGCAAGAUUUACCUGCUCCCACUCCUGCAGCUAAACGAGGCCGGCCUCCCAAGAAUCGUAGGCAGGGUGAGGACGCUUCAGCAGUUAAAAUGGACAAAAUAAAAAUGGAGAACAAAGACACAGAUCCAAAUGAAUCUGAGAGUUGUGAAAAGAUCCCUAGAAAUUUGAAGGGGAAAUCCUCCCCCAGUGCCACAAAAGGUUCAACAAUUCAGUUCUCUCCAGCUCAACUAUGUGGCUCAACAAGGAAAGGAGAAAAAAGAGAGUUGACUGAGGGCAAUGAUCAGGAAAUGGAUUCCACUGAUGACAGUACCCUGACUUUGCUAGACUCAUCUAAAGAAGCCCAAUCACCUGAAGUUGACCAAAAGAAAGAGGAAAAAGACCUACACAAAAGAGAAAUGGUCAAAGAAAACUGUGCUCUGAAUGAAAAGAUUUAUGAAGUUAAAUCAAAUGGUAAAGAUGAAUUUCCCCCUGUGUUAGAAGAAAAAAGCACCACAGAAAAAGAUAAGCUUGUUAAAGGAAAAAGCAAGUUGCCAAGAACCCCAAAGUCUCCUGUUCUCAAGAACCUUAAAAUCAGGCUAAAUGUCAAAGAGGUGAAAGAUCAUGUUUCAAAGUGCACCAGCAGAGGUACUAACAGUGAAGACAGUGAAAUUUCGUCUUUGGAAAAAAACGAACUUCAGGAAACAUCAAAAAGUUUAAGUUCACAUGAGAUGGAAUUGGAACAGGCCGUGGAGAACAUUGCCAAACUCACUGAUCCGUCUUUUCCAAGAGAACCUCAAACCCCAACUGGCCCAAUCACAGACUUAAAAAGUUUCUCAGAUGAAGAAAAACCUAAUCCAGCUAGUGAAACAGAACUCAUUGCUGCUAUCGACUCCAUCACCGCUGAGGAUGUAGCCGUCUCUUUAUCCCAAGCACCACCUAUAGGUGUUGAUAUAACUUCAGAACCAGAGAUGCAAGACUCAGUUCAGCCUGCCAAAGAAGGCGAGCCUGAAAUGAACACUGUUAACAUCCGGGAAGAGCCUCCCUUACCUGCCAAAAAGGGCACUAAGGGAAGACCUAAGACUCAUAAACGUCCUAAAGCCCAAAAGGCACGGAAAGAUUCAAAAGAACAACCUCCACUAAAUGAAGAGACAGCAACUCUUUUAGUUCAGAACGCAUCCUCCAGUGUAAAGAUUGUCCCAGAAAUUAUUCCAUCAGCAGCUAUUGCUGCUGUUAUUACACCCACUACAUGGAAGCCAGAACAAGAGCCUUUAGCUGUCAAGGCACCUGAUGAAAAAGUAGAGUCAGCGUCAUCUCCUGAAGAGCAGAUUCAACACAUCAAAACUGUUUACCCACAGUCCAAAAGUCCAGUGGGCCCAAAGCCACAAUCACCUUCCCUGUCACCAUUAGCAUGUAGACCAAAUAUUAAACCAAUUCAAAACAGUAGAGCACCUGUCUCUCCACCAGAUUGGCUCCACCACUCAGUAGAUACAGGAGUUCCUUCUUUACCAGCCUUGCCUCGAGUACACAAGGAAAACCAUCCUUCACCUGACUCUGAAAAUAUUGACAUUGAUCGUGGCCCAAGUGAUCUGCGGCAGAUUCUUUUGAAACACAAAACUAUUUCUCUGCCGGGAAGUAGUUAUGUACCUACCAAUUUGCCCACAGUCCAAGAUAAGAACCUCACUGAGCGUACCACUACUUUACCAGUUGUGCCAAAUAAAUCACCACUACCAGACUGCAGAAUGUCAUCUCAGUCUGUUCGAACACCAGCUACACUACCUUCUCCUGAGACCAAGUCUGUGAUCUCUGUCAUUGCGUCCACUGCACUGCACUCCUCUGUCAUUAGUCGUGUAUGCAACCCUCCUGAGCAUGAAGAAAAAGUUAACCUAAAUAUUGGGAACCAAGGUGCAGACAUGGCUCUACCUAAACCCAACUACAGGCCCAGCAAAGAGGAUACUGGCUCAUACCAUGGACCAACUAUUGUUGAUGAAGGGGGAAGUGCUAAACGCUUUAUCAUUGAAAGUUCCACUCUUGGUACAGGUUCUUGCCCAGGUCUCAGGGUAAAUACGUCUGAAGGAGUGGUGGUUCUAAGCCACUCGGGACAAAAAACCGAGGGACCCCAAAGGAUAAGUGCAAAAAUAAGUCAAAUUCCACAAGCAACAGCAGGUGACAUGGAAUCUCAGCAGCUGGUAUCUAUGCCCCAAAUUAAACAGGAAAUGUACAGUCAUCCUCCAUCAGGCCUUCAAAAAGGGUCUUUGCAGACAGAUCAUGGUCAUCCUGGUAAGACUCAGUCAGCCUUUUCUUCUAAUAAGCAAGAAGGCACAGGUUUGGAGAAAUUGGAGGCUUCCUAUCACUCUGGUCCUCAAGGAGUUGUAAAGCGUCUCACACAGGGAGUUGGUAAUCAAGGUAUGAGCUCAAUGUACCACCAGGAGUACAUUCCUACAAAACAUCAAAAGAAAAUAGACAGUGGAGAUUCACAUAGUACAGAUGGUUCUAAGGCAUCAUGGGCCUCAGCUAUUAGUCCUGCUAUAAGUCCCCAUCUGCCCUCUCCUCCUGGAAACCAUGUAGGCUUUGUUACGGCAGCUGGUGACAGACCUUCGCAUAUCAGUGGCAUCAAACAGGAGCCACGAUCCCCACGCAAGUCAAGUCAUCCACAUUCUCCAUUUACUAAAGUGUCCUCACCUAUUGGGUCUUCAUCUCCUAAGGGCAUACCAGUGAUGUUACCCACUGGUCUUCCCGCCAUGCAACAGUUUAUCACAGGUGUGCAUCAUCCAGAGCAGUCCGUUAUCAUGCCACCUCACAGUGUCCCUGGAGGUUUGGGCCGAAUGUCACCUCACCCUGCUACCCAGUCGAUUCCAGUGGGACAUCUCGUCCAGGGAGAUGUUCGGGUCAAUACUCCCCCACUCUCUGUGAUGAGCUACGGGAUGCAUAGUGAGUCUCUUACAUCUCCCUGGUCUGGUUCCAUGCAACAACGACCAACUUCACCCCAAACUGUUGGCAGAGACAAGGUCCUCAAGGUGAACCCAAGUGCUUUGAGGAGUCAUGACAUAGACCAAGAAGAAUCGAGACGCUUUCACCAGCAAGGACGUCAACCUUCCACACAGUUAAAACCAGAGACGAUGCAGUCAGAUCCUCGGGGGAGUUUCCGAAGUGGUGUGCCAAUGGAAGCGUAUAUGACACCGAGAGAGAUGCGUGCACUCCAACACCAACAAGGAGAGCGUUCGUCCACAGACCCUCAUUCAGGGCACCUUCAAGAGACUCAUCCCCCCACCUCUGCACCUUCCAGUUUACCAAUGUCUAUGUCUCCGAGGGCACACAUUCUGCCUAAAGGUGUUUCUGAGAAGGAUAUAGGAAAGCCAUUAGAGGCUAAAAGGCCCCACUCCCCUCUUUCUAAAGAUGGAUUAAUGGGGAUCCGGCAGCCUGGACCUACAAUAUCAUCUCCCCAGAGAGUUACGAUCAUGCCUCCAGGACUUAGUGGCACCUUCCCAGAGUACUCUCAGAUGUACUCAAACCCAAGAGCCAUCCAUUCCCAGAUGCCUGACGCAGCACACGUUGUUCCUGAUGGCAAGAUUGCGCAGCCUGUUAAUAUGGUGCAGUUGCUCACAAAAUACCCGAUUGUUUGGCAAGGGCUACUUGCGCUCAAAAACGACACAGCGGCGGUCCAGUUGCAUUUUGUGUGUGGCAACAAAGCUUUGGCUCACCGAUCACUGCCCCUCCAGGAAGGCGGUGCCUUCCUCAGAAUUGUUCAGAGAAUGAGACUCGAAGCAUCUCAGCUGGAGAGCGUAGCCAGAAGAAUGACAGGGGAGUGUGACUUCUGUCUUCUGCUUGCUUUACCUUGUGGACGAGAUCAAGACGAUGUUCUGAACCAGACCCAAGCUCUAAAGGCCGCCUUUAUAAACUACUUGCAGACAAAGUUGGCGGCUGGCAUUAUUAAUAUCCCAAAUCCAGGUUCCAAUCAGCCGGCCUACGUCCUGCAGAUUUUCCCACCAUGUGAAUUUUCAGAGAGCCACUUAUCUCAGCUGGCCCCCGACCUUCUCAACAGAAUCUCCAGUAUCUCUCCUCACCUCAUGAUUGUCAUCACCUCUGUGUGACCUUCACUGCGAGGGACUCUUGUCAUAUGGAUGGACGGAAGAGCCACAGAUGAGCCUCAGGAAACUAGAGGAAUAAGAGUCUUUUUAUUCUUCUCGUCAUUCUUUUCCAGUCUCACCCUUAUGUCAUCCCAUCUGGUGUUUUUGUCCUUCUCAAAAGAACUCAGGGAUGGACCAAACCAGAAUCACAUCUUUUUUUUUUCUUCUUUUUUUUUUGACCAUUUCUGCUGUAUUUCUAUUUAUUGGAGUUUUACCUUUCUGUGAAGAAAAAAAAAUGGAUGCUUGAUGAACAGGAAUGAUUGACUGACCAGAUGGCCUUUUUAUUGAUUUUUCUUUUUUUCCAACAAGAGGGUCAUGGAUGUUUAAAAAAAAACACAAACAAAAAAAAAGACAUGUAAUUUUAAAUAUGUACAGACUGCCUCUACUGUGCUUUCUUUAAGAGGAUGAGGAAUAAAAAGACCCUGCAGAGGACCACAGAUUUCAAUUCCACCAGCUUGGUUCAUUGUUUUUCUCCCCCCCCCCCACUACUGAAACAGUUUACACCUCUGGCACCUACAUUUGCAUUGAUCAAGCAACAGUUUCCUUUGGAUGUUUUGGAAUAUUGGACGUUGUAAAUAUUUUAAAUAUUUAAACUUUGACAAUGGAACUUGGAAAACCUGGCAGAGACUUGAACUCCGGGAUUGUACCAGAACACAGAAUGGAGAUAGCAUAAACGGACGCCGCGCGAGGUUUGUUGGUGACGAGUGCGAGCUCCCCAAAGUAUUGUCCUCGAGAGCAACGAGCCACCUCGACCUCCGUGUCGUCCUGCUGGCCUGCCUUUGUCUAGAAUUGAACGCACAGGUUGGGAUAUAGUACUGAGGUGGCAAAAGUACACAAAAAGACUGGUAGAAGAAAGUACAGCAAAAAUUGGAGAUGGGGAGCAUCAUGGUGAGGAGCUUGUGCCUCACAUUGGAUCAACAUCUGUUGUCUGGGCGUGUUUCAUAUUGAGGGCAAGUGACAUUAAACAAGAUGAUAUAUUUAUUCAGUUCGCCUUUGCAUUUAGUUUAAAGUUUCAUUUUGCACUGAAAACUAUUUAUAUAUUGUUUGUUGAAAAGUAGUGCAAUACAAAUGUUUUCCCUAACAUGAUG